UUUAGUAAUUGCGAAUGAACAAGGAUAUGCUUAGCUUGACAAAUGGAGCUAUUGGCUUUGAAUUGUAUUGUGGAAAUGUAUUACCAACAGAGGUGCAGGUGCCAGCCUAUUGAAAUAAAGCGUCAAUGAGGGUGAGAAUCCUGUUUGUCAUGUGCAGCCCUUUGUGCACGGUGUAUAUUUGCUGAGUCACACUCCUUGGCAUUGGAAUGCAAAGUGGGUGGUAAGUUUCAUGUAAAGGUAAACAUGCAAUUGAGACUGAUAGCACACAAGUACCAUGAGGGAAAUAUGAAAAGGACUUUGAAAAGAGAAUUAAAUGAGUUUGUAUUUGCUGAACACAAAGUAAACAGACUUGAUUUGCUUGGUGGGAGUGUUGCACUUGCUUGACAAGAGCUUUGGGCUGUGGGUGUAAUGAUUCUUUCUUUGCAUGCCAGUUUCUAUUUGUACAUCUGAUUACCUUUGCACAUGAAUGAUAAGUCUCCUGUGGGGGGUGGAUUGCAUGUGCAUGUAAUGAUUUGUGUUUUGAUAAAUGUGUCUGGUGUAUGUGUGUGUUCCUGUGCUUGGGGAUGCUUCCUUCCUUGGACUUACAAGCCCUGACACACACAUGCUGGCAAAAUGCUUCUGCUUGACCCGUCUUGAAACACGGACCAAGGAGUCUAACAGAUGUGCAAAGUUUGAAGGUGGUAUACCUUUGUGUGCAAUGAAAGUGUCAGCUGGGAUAUGUGCACCAGCACCCAAUUAAUUAGCGGACAGAGGUUUGAGUUGGAGCAUAUCUAUUAGGACCCGAAAGAUGGUGAACUAUGCCUGAACAGAAUGAAUUCAGAGGAAACUCUGAUGGAGGUUCGUAUCGAUACUGACGUGCAAAUCGUUCGUCAUAUUUGGGUAUAGGGGCGAAAGACUAAUCGAACCAUCUAGUAGCUGGUUCCCUCCGAAGUUUCCCUCAGGAUAGCUGGAGUUGCUCAGUUUUAUCAGGUAAAGCGAAUGAU
rnacentral:rRNA from 1 species